AUGCAGUCCAGGAACCUCCGUGGGCAUUACCGCAGUAUAUAAAUGAUGCUGAAGCGGAAACACGUUUUUUCAAGUUCCUGUAUUUUUAUGUGGAGUUGCUCACUGCCCAACGUAGAGGACUAGGAAUCAGGAGUCGGUGGCCGUAUGCUGGAGGCUGGAGCCGCGGGAGCGCGGCUCGCCUCGCUGCGGUUGUUGGCAGUGACGGAGAGAGAGCAGCGCGGCUGGAGCAGUGACACAAAUCACUAUGUAAUAUAGUUAGCCUUUGAACAACACGGAUUUGAACUGCAGGGGUCUACUUAUGAGCAGAUUUUCUCCCACCUCUACCACCUGAGACAGCGAAGACCAAUCUUCCUCUUCCUCCUUCUCCUUAGCCUGCUCAACUUGAAGACUAUGAUGAAGAGUUAUAUAAUGAUCUACUUGCAUUUAAUGAACAAUAGUUUCCCUUGCAAAGUUAUCAAAGUGCUCCCCAGAAGACAUUAGGUAUUUGCUUUCUAGUCUACAUACAAUGAAAAGGAAAAAACGUCAGUUCCUGAAGCUCUCUCAAAACAUCAACAGAUGGAAAGACGUGCCCAUGUCCUCCCCUCCCUCCACUCUGGGGGCUUGGAAAUGCUGCAGCAGGGAGCAGGCCCCAGGCUGGACCUGCCCUGUCCUCACGACGAGUGUGUGCAAAAGUGAACAAUAAAUCAUUUCAAAGAUGCAAGGAAGAAAAACCAAAACAUCAACAGAAUCUUCUUUCCCAUAAUCUUCAUGCACCUCCUGGUCCGGAUGAGUUUAUGUUCCCAUCUCCGAGCACAGGGAUUGAUUGUGAUGGCAUUUAUAGGACUGAGUGCCCCACACUCUGUGAUCCAGCAUGGAGUUAUGAUUUACAUCACCACAGGAAGAGUACAGAGGCUUCAACAGAAAAAAAGCAAAAACAACAGACCUUCAUUCAGCUUAGGAACAUAAUAAAUAGGACGAAGUUGAAUAAACGAAAUGGAGGGGAGUGAAGUAUUCCAGAUGGAAGAGGCAGUACGUGGCCAAGAGGAAACAGACCAUGUGCGCUGGAGAAAAAGGAUGGCCAGACUUGCAGAAACCUGGAAUUGGUGAUUGGCUUUAGAAGUGGAGAGACAAAAAAGGAGGCAUAGAAAGUGCCAACAUUUGGCUACACAGGGAAGAAAGACGUAAAAUAAUAAAAACAUUGGCAUCACCUGUAGACUCAAAUCCUGUGAGUGAAGGACCUGAGCAAUGAAGGAUGGAUUGAACUCGUGAUUAGCCUUCUUCAGCAUAUGUAAAAUGAUGUCUGCUUUUCUUCUCUAUUUGUCAUUUUACCGACUUUUUAUAUAUAGUAGUUUCCCCAUAUCCAUGGAGGAUGUAUCCCAAGACCCCCAGAGGAUGCUUGAAACCACAGAUAAUAACAAACUCUAUGUAUCCUAUGAUUUUUCCUGUACAUCCUUACCUAUCAUAAAGUGAGUGUAUAAACUAGGCACAGGAGAUUAAAAACAAUAACUCAUAAUAAAAUAGAACAAUUAGUACAACCUAAUGAAAGUUAUCUGAAUGUGAUCUCUCUCAAAAUAUCUUAUUGUAGUGUACCAUGGGUAACUGAAAUGAUAGAAAACAAAAUUGCUGAUAAAGGGGGAUAUUGUAGUAAAAUAAAGGGGGAUGGGUAGAGCGUAGGAAGCAUUCACAAUUAGAACAGUUGGCAGUAGGGAAAGAAACAUACUUUAAAUUGGAAUGUGGAUCACAUGGCUGCCUCCUGCCAGUCAUGAUCGCAGGGUACAGAGGCCUCUGGUAUGUCAGGUCUUCUCUCCCACCACUAAUACUGCCCAAAAGACUCCAUCAGCAACCAGAGCUGAAUCACACACAACCCAGAUUGUCAUUUCUGAUGACUUUGACUUAAACAAACAGACAUAUUUUUAAUCUUUUUAGUGUGUGUGAAACUAGCAAGGCCUAAUGAAUUGAGUAUAUGGAUGAGGUUUGUGGCCUCUGUAACGUUUUCUCCAACCAGAACCUACUGAAAUAGCACAGAUGGUGAUGAGUAUGGUUCAAACACAAGAAUUCUUGGAAAUUGAAGUUGAAGUAUAAGGAGAAUUUUUACAUCACCCAGGUUCUAAUUUGGAAGGUUUCUAACAGCCCUCUGUCCUCUUCUGGUGCUCACUGUGAAAGAAUUUGCACCCUGCAACACUAAGUGUUUGUGCUAGAAUCCACUUCUGAUGUUGGCUGCUCUGACACAGCUUCCAUUCGGGUCUCACUCUUGUCGCCCAGACUGCAUUGCAGUGGGGUGAUCUCGGCUCAUUGCAACCUCUGUCUCCCGGAUUCAAGCAAUUCUCCUGCCUCAGCCCCCCAAGUAGCUGGGUUUACAGGUAUGUGCAACCAUGCCCAGCUAAUUUUUUUUUGUAUUUUUUUCAGUAGACAUGGUUUUUUUUUUUAAAUUUUAUUAUUAUUAUACUUUAAGUUUUAGGGUACAUGUGCGCAACGUGCAGAUUUGUUACAUAUGUAUAUAUGUGCCAUGUUGGUGUGCUGCACCCAUUAACUCGUCAUUUAGCAUUAGGUAUAUCUCCUAAUGCUAUCCCUCCCCACUCCCACCACCCCACAACAGUCC
rnacentral:lncRNA from 10 species